GUUGAACCGCCGGUUCCCGUACGAUCACCGUUAAGCAACGUUGAGCCUGGUCAGUACCUAGAAGGGUGAUCACAUGGGAAUAGCAGGUUCUGUAAG